GACGAACGCUGGCGGCGUGCUUAACACAUGCAAGUCGAACGGAAAGGCCCUGCUUUUGUGGGGUGCUCGAGUGGCGAACGGGUGAGUAACACGUGAGUAACCUGCCCUUGACUUUGGGAUAACUUCAGGAAACUGGGGCUAAUACCGGAUAGGAGCUCCUGCUGCAUGGUGGGGGUUGGAAAGUUUCGGCGGUUGGGGAUGGACUCGCGGCGUAUCAGCUUGUUGGUGGGGUAGUGGCUUACCAAGGCUUUGACGGGUAGCCGGCCUGAGAGGGUGACCGGCCACAUUGGGACUGAGAUCCGGCCCAGACUCCUACGGGAGGCAGCAGUGGGGAAUAUUGCACAAUGGGCGGAAGCCUGAUGCAGCAACGCCGCGUGCGGGAUGACGGCCUUCGGGUUGUAAACCGCUUUCGCCUGUGACGAAGCGUGAGUGACGGUAAUGGGUAAAGAAGCACCGGCUAACUACGUGCCAGCCGCCGCCGUAAGAC
rnacentral:rRNA from 1 species